GGCGACAUCGCCAAGUGGUAAGGCAGGAGUCUGCAAAACUCCCACCCCCAGUUCGAAUCUGGGUGUCGCCU
rnacentral:tRNA from 1 species